AAGAAGUUGAUCCCACAGUACAACAAGUUUGGCACAUCCCCAUGGCCUUGAGAUGGUGUUUUGCCUGGAAUGUCUGAAGGCACCUAAAGGGAAGUGUUUCUGAGUCAGCAAAGGAAACCAACACAUUUUCCUGCAUCCAGGAGGGAAGGCUCAGGAGAAAGGCAAACCACUGAUGAGCCAGUAACAGUAAACAGAAAGGAGGAAGAGCAAAGUGGAGCAGCUUGGAAGGAAAGCACAGGUGGACACCAGGAGGAAGAGCUGUGCACUCUUACUCUGGCAAUGGGGUCUACACUGGAGGCAUUAUGUGAUGAGAAAUAUCAGAGAUAAGAAGUCUUGGAAAACCAUAAUUUGUGUGCAAGCUGACAUGUUUCAACAGCAUGGACAGGGAU